rnacentral:tRNA from 1 species
GCCUGGGUGGCUCAGUCGGUUAAGCAUCUGACUUCGGCUCAGGUCGUGAUCUCACAGUCUGUGAGUUCGAGCCCCGCGUCGGGCU